CUGAUCGUCGCGGAGCUGGGCGUCGAGCCGGCGCUGGUCGCGCUGAACGACGCACUCGUGGCGGCAUUGCGGGAUCUCGGCCUGCCGACCGAUC
rnacentral:tRNA from 1 species